ensembl:lncRNA
AGGACCGGUACCGGGAUGGGCAAGUGCGGGAUUUAUAACUGGAGGGAGCGGCGCCGUCCUUGCCGGACGAGAAGGGAGCGCUGCAGUUCCCGACGCCCCGCGCAGCGAAUGGGACACCGAGCGUUUCCUCCGGCCACGCCUGAUGCACUUCAGCGCCUCGUCGCGGCUUUCGGCGCCAGCGGCCCGUUCUUCCUCCGGGAACGUCGUUCCUCCCGGCGGCUCCCCUUGCCUGCUGUAGUCCCCUUGUCGUCCGACCCAGCUCCCCGGUCUCGUUCCAGACCCAUCCCCGCGGCGCCCCUGGAGCCCUGGCUGUGAGCUCCGCCACCCACUGGGUGCCAAGCGCAGCUCCUGGCCGAAUCCUCAGCGACCCGCCGCCGCCCACGGUCAAGAGCCAGCCACUACCGAGUCCUAUUUUAAUACCUCUUGGGAGGGGAAAAAAAAGAAAAAUCCUCCCCCUGGCCGCAACUACUGGAAAAAUUCAGGCCCUGAUCCUCCGCUUGAACCGACUUUUUUCACCAUAUCCACCGCCACCAGAAUCAUCUUUUUAAUAAUCAUAGCUUGUUGCCAUCAAUACAUUGCCCAGACAUCUCCUGUGGCUUCCCGACUUCUGGUUAUAAAGACCAAAUUCUUAGCAUUCGACACAAGUAGUGUACGUGUAAAGUUUAAGUCCAGACCUUACCAACUGCUUCCUAAAUCUUCACUAUGAAAAUUGCAACUGGAGACACCCUUUCCAAGAAGGAACUCUGGAUUCCUCGCAUCCCUACCCUUGUUUACACAUGUGGCUGACACUUGCUGUGGAGUGAAGGGACCGGUAUCCAGCCUCAACAGCUAGAUUUCCUAUCGUGGACGCUUAAGGCAGCCCUGUACCUGACUGAGGAAGUGCUCUGACUGAUCCCUUCCCUCAUGAGCAGAAAACCAAGAGCAGAGUUAAAAGGGAAAGGGAAAGUGAGAAGAUGCCCAGCGGGGAGUAGAGGCACCUUGGUAGACAGACCUUGUGACUCGUUAGGGAGAGGAGAGAGCAAACCUGCCCGCGUCCUGGUUACUUUCCAUUUCUGGCUUCUGGUCCCAGACAAAGAGGUUUUCACAGUAUCUUCCCUUUUAUUUAAGGUUUCCCACAGGAGUGUUUUCCCAGAGCACCUGAGCAGAGGAGGCUUACACUACAGAGUUGUGGCCCUCUGCAUGUCCACCCACACCGACAGCAUCCCUACCUGGCCCGAACUUGGAGACCUCACUACCACCUCUGCAGCCCUGCUCUUGCCUGUGGUAACAAACAAAAUGCACCUGAGUAAAUUUUAAAGCCCUUAUGGCUUUAUUCAACAGCUCAUGAACCAGGCACAUCUUAUCUAGCAGGGAGAAAGGCACUCUGAGGAGCUUUACAAAAUGAAAGACUUUCAUAGGCGGAAGGGAGGAGGGACGAGGAAGUUAUACUAGCAAGAAGUGGCUUGGUCGCAGUAAGGUCACUUUCCUUUAGGGGAGGGCAGGGGUCUCAGACAGGUGACCUCACUAGUGCUGAUCAGGUGACUCCUGAUUGACUGGUUUAAGAUUCCAUUUCUGGGAGAGCUGAAAUUGUGAUUAUUAAAUCUUGGCUUGGUGAUGUGGGGCCUAGCAUAAGUGACCAUUUCAGCCUAUUGUCUUGCUUUUAACACUUGGAACACCCUCCUUCCAGCUCUACACAUCUUAAGCCCCUACCCCUCCAGGUCCCACAUCUUACAUCCACAGCCCCAAGUAACACCUACCUACUUUUUUGCUCUUUAGCCCUGAGUAAUUUUUUAUAAUGUCACAUUUUGACUUGGAUUACAGUGAUUUUUAUGUCUUAGAGUUGAGUUUUCCUUUUAAUCCCUGUAAAGUGUUGUACACAGUAGGUGCUCAAUGAAUGUCAGAGUGAAUCAAGUUUGCUGCAGCUAAUUGAAGAUACAAAAGAAUAAGCACUUUUCUGUUCAAAAAUGAAUGUGCCUUUGUUUCUCCUGCCUUUCUCAAAAUCAGUUCUUCAAACAUUUGAAAAGAGAAUCAAAAGUCUUGUUUGUGCAAUACGGGGUGGGUAGACUCCAUGAAGGGCUGCAUAGUAAAUAGUCCAGGCCUUUGGGGCCAUAGAGGUCUCUGCUGUGUAUUUGCCGUUGUUAUUAUUUUGUUUUUUUUAAGAACCUUUUAAAAACCUAAAGAUCAUUCUUCCCUUUCAGGCUGCACAAAACAAGUGUAAUUAUAGGUAACAAUGGAAAUUACUACAGGCCACUAGUUGAGGAAUGCCGAAAAUUACAUUUUUCCUCUUUCCCACACCAUGGGGCCACAACUGUUUUGUCAUUGUGAUGGAAACGAACAAAGAAGCAAUGUCUGCACUGCAGAAAGUGGUGAACAAUGACUUUAGAACCACACACCUGGCUUUAAAUCCUCAAGCAGGUGACCUAUAUGAACUGGCAUUUCCUUACAGAGGAUUAGCUAUAAAUUAAAUGAAGAGUGGCAAGGACAGGGCCGAAUCCAUAGGAUCUACUAUACAGAGAGUUGUUAUUAACAAUUUAUUGAUGGCGUUACUCAUUUUGGAAAACAAAUACAUCUUCAGCCUACUCAGAAAAAUAGGGGACUUUUUUUUUUUUUUUUAGCAUUUUGCUUAUCAAACUUCCAAGAAAACGUGUGUUUUUCUAUAAGUGUCCUAAGACUUGGAGGAAUGGCUAGAUUCUGGCCUUUGAUUUUGGGGCUUCCCUGUGCCUGUACAGUCCAGUCAGUUCUUUAGAGAAUCUGACUGUAAAUGUCUCGGUUCUCGCCCCAUACCCUCAUUAUCACCUCCCAGAUACUUGGUAACAUCUCCAAAAUAAAGCUUUAGAAUAUAACAUAACUAGGAGGUUAAUUAAACUGGUGGUUUAAUUUAUUACCGUAUGCUUCUGCAGAAAUGGCUAAUAGAUUUGGUCUAGAAGCCAAGGAGGUUUUUAUCAUAUGAACUCAACUUGGAAAAGUAUUUGUCCUUUGGAAGUUUGUAUAUUUUGCUCUAUGAAGAGCUGUCCCUUCCUUUGAUGCACUUACCCAUAAGAAAAAUAAACUAUAUUUUCUUCUUUCUCUUAAAACCCUGAGAGGUGUGUUGUGGAGUAAUUUACAACUCUAAGAGUCUACAGUUGAGUGGUAUCAUCUGCUUAAGUUAGGAUUAUUUCCUGACCUGUGAUGUAAUGCUAACACAUGCCCACAAGAUGUCCAUCUUUCCCUUUCUGUGUUUUAGACAUAAAUGGAAUUUCCAGCCCUAUUUGUGACAUAUCAGCUGCUUCAUUGGGGAGUGGAAAGGCCAUCUUCUGGGGCAUCCUGGGGUAGAAGGCAGUUUGUGAGAGUCGUCUGCCCAUUCAUGGUCUGCUCUGCUUGCUCCUGAACUGCCUCCGCUCCAGUGUUU